AUGAGAAGCAUGAAGAAAGACAACAACGACAAUCAACAAUCAACUGAUGAAAGUUCUGCCGUAACCGGGUAUGCUCAUAUUCAUUCUCUUUUUGUUUAUUCAAACUCUUAUCUUCUCCUCGUCUCUUUCUUGUUGGUAUCUUGGUUGUUGAUUCUUCUUGUUGUGUGUGUUUUUGGACGAAGUAUGAAGGAUGUUUAA